rnacentral:piRNA from 1 species
UCUCGCUCACUGAUGGUGUCUGUUUGUUU